UACGUAGGGUGCGAGCGUUAAUCGGAAUUACUGGGCGUAAAGCGCGUGUAGGCGGCCACGCAGGUCCGUUGUGAAAACUAGAGGCUCAACCUCUAGACGUCGACGGAAACCGUGUGGCUAGAGUCCGGAAGAGGAGAGUGGAAUUCCCGGUGUAGUGGUGAAAUGCGUAGAUAUCGGGAGGAACACCAGUGGCGAAGGCGACUACCUGGCCUGUUUCUUGACGCUGAGGCGCGAAAGCUAGGGGAGCAAACGGG
rnacentral:rRNA from 1 species